rnacentral:rRNA from 1 species
UCUGCCCCGAUGCGCGUAGCUGACGGAGCAUGCCGCGUGAGUGAUGAAGGUUUUCGGAUCGUAAAGCUCUGUUGCCAGGGAAGAACGCUUGGGAGAGUAACUGCUCUCAAGGUGACGGUACCUGAGAAGAAAGCCCCGGCUAACUACGUGCCAGCAGCCGCGGUAAUACGUAGGGGGCAAGCGUUGUCCGGAAUUAUUGGGCGUAAAGCGCGCGCAGGCGGUCAUUUAAGUCUGGUGUUUAAUCCCGGGGCUCAACCCCGGAUCGCACUGGAAACUGGGUGACUUGAGUGCAGAAGAGGAGAGUGGAAUUCCACGUGUAGCGGUGAAAUGCGUAGAUAUGUGGAGGAACACCAGUGGCGAAGGCGACUCUCUGGGCUGUAACUGACGCUGAGGCGCGAAAGCGUGGGGAGCAAACAGGAUUAGAUACCCGUGUAGUCC